UACAGAGGUCUCAAGCGUUGUUCGGAUUCAUUGGGCGUAAAGGGUGCGUAGGCGGCGCGGUAAGUCGGGUGUGAAAUCUCGGAGCUUAACUCCGAAACUGCAUUCGAUACUGCCGUGCUUGAGGACUGGAGAGGAGACUGGAAUUUACGGUGUAGCGGUGAAAUGCGUAGAUAUCGUAAGGAAGACCAGUGGCGAAGGCGGGUCUCUGGACCGGUACUGACGCUGAUGCGCGAAAGCGUGGGGAGCAAACGGG
rnacentral:rRNA from 1 species